rnacentral:rRNA from 1 species
GACGAACGCUGGCGGCGUGCCUAAUACAUGCAAGUAGAACGCUGAAGGAGGAGCUUGCUUCUCUGGAUGAGUUGCGAACGGGUGAGUAACGCGUAGGUAACCUGCCUGGUAGCGGGGGAUAACUAUUGGAAACGAUAGCUAAUACCGCAUAAGAGUAGAUGUUGCAUGACAUUUUCUUAAAAGGUGCAAUUGCAUCACUACCAGAUGGACCUGCGUUGUAUUAGCUAGUUGGUGAGGUAACGGCUCACCAAGGCAACGAUACAUAGCCGACCUGAGAGGGUGAUCGGCCAAGCUGGGACGGAGACACGGCCCAGAACACUACGGGAGGCAGCAGUAGGGAAUCUUCGGCAAUGGACGGAAGUCUGAACGAGCAACGCCGCGUGAGUGAAGGAGGUUGUCGGAUCGUAAAGAUCUGUUAUAAGAGAAGAACGAGUGUGAGAGUGGAAAGUUCACACUGUGACGGUAUCUGAACAGAAAGGGACGGCUAACUACGUG